GUAAAUGUAAAUGUAGUUCCCAUUUAACUCUAUCAGAAGAAGGUUAGCAUCAUGUAGCCAUAGACUACUGUCUAGAUCCCAUUUAACUCUAUCAGAAGGUUAGCAUCAUGUAGCCAUAGACUACUGUGUAGUUCCCAUUUAACUCUAUCAGAAGAAGGUUAGCAUCAUGUAGCCAUAGACUACUGUCUAGAUCCCAUUUAACUCUAUCAGAAAGUUAGCAUCAUGUAGCCAUAGACUACUGUGUAGUUCCCAUUUAACUCUAUCAGAAGAAGGUUAGCAUCAUGUAGCCAUAGACUACUGUGUAGUUCCCAUUUAACUCUAUCAGAAGGUUAGCAUCAUGUAGCCAGAGACUACUGUGUAGUUCCCAUUUAACUCUAUCAGAAGAAGGUUAGCAUCAUGUAGCCAGAGACUACUGUGUAGUUCCCAUUUAACUCUAUCAGAAGGUUAGCAUCAUGUAGCCAUAGACUACUGUGUAGUUCCCAUUUAACUCUAUCAGAAGGUUAGCAUCAUGUAGCCAGAGACUACUGUGUAGAUCCCAUUUAACUCUAUCAGAAGAAGGUUAGCAUCAUGUAGCCAGAGACUACUGUGUAGUUCCCAUUUAACUCUAUCAGAAGAAGGUUAGCAUCAUGUAGCCAUAGACUACUGUCUAGAUCCCAUUUAACUCUAUCAGAAGAAGGUUAGCAUCAUGUAGCCAUAGACUACUGUGUAGAUCCCAUUUAACUCUAUCAGAAGGUUAGCAUCAUGUAGCCAGAGACUACUGUGUAGUUCCCAUUUAACUCUAUCAGAAGAAGGUUAGCAUCAUGUAGCCAUAGACUACUGUCUAGAUCCCAUUUAACUCUAUCAGAAGGUUAGCAUCAUGUAGCCAUAGACUACUGUGUAGUUCCCAUUUAACUCUAUCAGAAGAA